UUCUAAGUGAAGUAAUUCAGUUUUCAGGUGAAGAUGAGUUGACCGAAGUGCAUGUGGCUGAUCCAGCUGUUGCACCCUCCAUCCAGUAUAACUUUUGUGCCGUUGCCUUUGGUGCAACCCCUUGACAUGAAACCACAGUUCUUCCAAUAAGCAGAGUGAAUGUGAACACAUGUUGGCAGAACUGUGCCAUUUACAAAGGAAGUGGUGAGAUAUUACUGAGGAAAAGCUAGACAAUGCUGCACCAGCAAUCUGAUCCCGCUCAUUCUUUCUCCAAAAUGUAGUUUCCAACUCUGCAGGAGUAGUGGCUGUGAAAUACAUGGGAAAGAGUUUGAAAAGUAUGUAUC
rnacentral:lncRNA from 1 species